rnacentral:lncRNA from 1 species
UGCACAGUUCAAACCUGUGUUGUUGAGGAGUCAACUAUAUAUUAUAAUUUAAGAGAGGAUUCAACUCUUUCAUUCUACUGGCAAUGGGUUAACAUAAACUUUAGUCAGAACUGCUGAGCUUUUCUGGCACAAUGAGGACAAAUUGACCAAUGUAUUUAACCAAUAGCUGGAGGAAAAUUUUGCUAAAAUUGCCUGGGGAAUCCCAAACUAUAUCUCUAGUAACAAGGAAACCAUUUUACCGGAAUUUUUAUUAACAUGGAAAAGUUCUGUCAAUUAAUCAGACUUCACUGUCCAUAUCACUUUCAACCUUUUGGGAAGGUAGAAAGAUGGAAUUCUGAAACUAAAGUUGGUAAAGUUCACAGACAUCGUCAAACUUGCAUGGUCUAAGGAAAGGCCAUGUGAACACAGAGAGAAGGAGGCCAUCUACUAACCAGAGAGGGAGUGGGCCCUCACCAUGAACCAAAUAUACCAGCACCUUAAUCUUGGACUUCCCAACUUUCAGAACUCUGAGAAAUAAAUGUCAGUUGUUUAAGUCACCCGGUCUAUGGUAUUUUCUUACAGUAUUCCAAGCUGCCCAAGACAGGGAACAUGCAUCAAAGAAUGCAGCUGGAUUCUAAAGCCUGGGAAAGGCCAGGUCAUGGAUUAUUCCACAGAGCCUAUAGAAGGAAUGCAGUCUUCCAAUGCUUUGAUUUUAAAUCAGUAAGACCUGUGUUGAACUUCUAACCUGGAAUACUGCUAGACAAUAAAUUUAUGUUGUUUUAAACUACUAAGUGUAUUGUGAUUUUUAUAACAGCCACAGGAAAAUAAUACAUUUGGCAAAUCAGUGCAUGUUUCAUGAUGGUCAAUGAUAUGCCCCAGGGUCCAUCUUAGCCAUGAUUUCUAUCCCUUCAAAAACCAAAACAAAAUAAAAAAGUAAAACAAAAAGACCAAUUUUACUAUACUACUUGAUUUUUAACAAUAUUUUAUAUGUAUUUAAUCCAGUAUAUCCAAAAUAUUGUCAUCUCAGCAUAAAACAAUA